AAUAGCCUGACGGCUGAACCAGCAACUUGGAGGAACGUAUAGCGAAAGCUAAUUGCACCAAAAAGAAUUGGAGCAAUAUCGACUUAGUCGAAUAAAGUUCUAGGUAAAAUUAUGAUGAUGACAUUGUUUGCCUAUGUGUCUUGACCAAAUUACGUGCCAGCAGUCGCGGUAAUACGUAGAAGACUAGUGUUAUUCAUCUUUAAUAGGUUUAAAGGGUACCUAGACGGUAAAUCAAGCCUAAAGGGGACUAAUUUACUAGAGUUACUUGUGAGGGGGCAUUAAAGUACUAAUGGUGUAGAGAUAAAAUUUUGUAAUACCUUUUUUCGAGAGAAAAACAAUGGCACAAAUAUAGGCGAAAGCAUCUCCUUAUGUGAUAACUGACGUUGAGGGACGAAGGCUUUGUGUAGCGAAAAGGAUUAGAUACCCUUGUAGUCAAAGCAGAAAAUGAUGAGUGUCAUAGAUUAGAACAAAUUUAUUCUAUAAAUGAAAGUGUAAGCACUCCACCUCAAGAGUAAUUUGGCAACAUUGGAACUGAAAUCAUUAGACCGUUUCUGAAACCAGUAGUGAAGUAUGUUGUUUAAUUUGAUAAUCCGCAAAAAACCUUACCACAACUUGAAUGUUUAUAUAUAAAUACAAGCGUUGCACGGCUGUCUUCAGUUAAUGUCGUGAGAUCAUGGUUAGUUCCAUUAAUUAACGUAAACCCUUACUUUAUUUUUAUAUAAAGUUGUUCUCCACUAUAUUGGAUAAGAUAACAGGGACCAAGACAAGUCAUCAUGGCCUGAAUGUUGUGGGCUAUAGACGUGCCACGUAAGCCUUUACAAAAGGAUGUGAAAUCGCGAGAUUGAGCUAAUCCCCUAAAACUGGCUAUACACUUUUAAU
rnacentral:rRNA from 1 species